UACAGAGGGGGCAAGCGUUAUUCGGAAUUAUUGGGCGUAAAGGGCGCGUAGGCGGCCUGGCAAGUGGAAGGUGAAAUCCCUCGGCUUAACCGAGGAACUGCCUCCCAAACUGCUUGGCUUGAGACCAGGAGAGGUGAGUGGAAUUCCCAGUGUAGCGGUGAAAUGCGUAGAUAUUGGGAGGAACACCAGUGGCGAAGGCGGCUCACUGGACCAUAACUGACGCUGAGGCGCGAAAGCUAGGGGAGCAAACAGG
rnacentral:rRNA from 1 species